CCUACGGGGUGCUGCAGUCGAGAAUCAUUCACAAUGGGGGAAACCCUGAUGGUGCGACGCCGCGUGGGGGAAUGAAGGUCUUCGGAUUGUACACCCCUGUCAUGUGGGAGCAAAUUAAAAAGAUAGUACCACAAGAGGAAGAGACGGCUAACUCUGUGCCAGCAGCCGCGGUAAUACAGAGGUCUCAAGCGUUGUUCGGAAUCACUGGGCGUAAAGCGUGCGUAGGCUGUUUCGUAAGUCGUGUGUGAAAGGCGCGGGCUCAACCCGCGGACGGCACAUGAUCCUGCGAGACUAGAGUAAUGGAGGGGGAACCGGAAUGCUCGGUGUAGCAGUGAAAUGCGUAGAUAUCGAGAGGAACACUCGUGGCGAAGGCGGGUUCCUGGACAUUAACUGACGCUGAGGCACGAAGGCCAGGGGAGCGAAAGGGAUUAGAUACCCUAGUAGUC
rnacentral:rRNA from 1 species